CAGUGUCCUCCACUCCUGCACGUCUAGUCUGUUAUUCAAAAGCACAAUUUGGAUUGCUAAACCCAGUCCUCGUUUAAGGCGACCAGGUUUUGGUCCUUCCUGUGAAUUUCAAAGAUGCUGUCGUGAGCCGAAACUCCUUUUUUUGGCCGUGUUCAGCCAUUCCCACCGCAUUCCCAGCUGUCGUUUGCUUUGCAGUGGACCGAUGGAGGUCCAGGCAAAGGCAGUGCGCAGCACUUGAAACACUGUCUGUCUUAUGUGUUAUAUGUUUUCAUCAGAUCCACCUGUCCCUUGUGUAACUCACUACUGUGAGAGGUGAAGUAAGGCCAUACCUCUGUGCACUUUGCCUGGGAAUUGUGCCCUUUUGUUUUCAUUGUAUUUCUGUUUUGUUCCAUGUCCAUUUCAAUGCAGGUGGUCCAUUUUUGUUGAAUACAUUUCAUUUUUAUGUCCAGUUAGUAUUGAAAAUGAAUAAGUGGUGUUUAAAGCAAAGGAUAUUACUGCUUUACUGUUACUUUUGAUCACACGUAGUGUUAUUUUCUAUCCUUAUGUGUUGUUGCUGCUACAUUUGCCUCUGGUGGACCUUUUUUGCAAACUGGUUAUCAUGAAUGGCUUCUUCUUUACAGUUUUGGGGUUGGACCAAAAAGUUUUUUGUAGAACUCUGUUCUACUGACCACUUGAGUACAUGACAAAAAGCCUGCAGCUUUCUGCCAUUUACUGUUACAGCCACUACUAGAGAUGCCAUAACAUACAACGUUUUACCCAGAUUCUUUAAUUCAUUAUUCAUUAUACAACUGGAAGAUUUUGCUUUCUGUAGAAAUUUUAAAUAGGACUAGUCACUUGUACAUCUUGGAUUAGGAGCAAGGAUUUUUAUUUAGCAGUAAUGUGGUGAGAGUCGUUUAUUUGGUUAAAUUGAUAUUAUAAUUCCAUCGUUCACGUUGACCUGUGACUUAAACCUUUAUACCUUAAGCCUGUACGGUUACACCCACCUGAAUCAUGUCUUAUCUCAUCCUCACCAUUGAGUCCAGGGGCUAAAACUCUGAAUUUUCCCUGGUUUGACCAAAGAAACCUUUCAUAGAUUUCCCAUGUACCAUGUUUACGCUCCGGCAUAAAUGCAGUGCCACAAUCCACCACAUAAACCUUUCACUGUCCGUGCCACCGUGAAGUGAGUGAAGCUUUUGCAGUUCAUUUAAGCGUUUGCCAUUUACAUCGAGGUAAAUAUGUUCAAAACAAGAAAUAGUGCUAUUAUAUCAGCACUAGAUCUCUCAGUAUUAUGAACAACAAAGCAAUAUGUAUGGGGCCACUUUUUCCUUUGAACAUUUCCUUUUGUGUGGUUUAGUAUUUUUGCCAUACUCUGGUAUAAAGCACAUUUUGGUUUUUCAUUUCAAUGUCUGAUAUCGGUCUGGUGUCGCACUGGAAACAGUUGUGUAGAUGUGUGUUUGAUGAGUUGGCCGUGUAUUUUGAAAAAUGUUUUGUCUGUGAAGCCCAAUGCACCGUUUGUGUAGAACUGGACUUUGAGGAGGCUGAGUAUCUUGAUAAAGCGAAAGUAUAGACACUGUAAACAAAUUGAGAUGAAUGACGCCCUCCUUUAGGGAUGAGCAGCAGUGCCAUAUCUUCUGUUGAGUCCUUUUGAUCGCUGAGGACCACACCUAACACGUUUCCUCUUAACAUACUGUACUAAUUUGUUUUGCUGCUGAAAAUGACAAUCCUCUUGUCAUGUUAGGUGCAAAAUGAUCUUGAAGUAAUAUUCAUUUUUAGUUUUGAUAAUUUACACUGCACAGAUGUUUCUACAGUGCUUUUGUAAACAUUUCUAGUGUAUUUGCAAAAAAUAAAAA
ensembl:lncRNA